ACCCCCCCCCCCCCCCACUGAAGAGAUAGAGCUUUCCUUUUCGGGGACAAAGUGACAGAAUGGUGCAUGGGUUGUCGUCAGCUCGUGUCGUGAGAAUGUUGGGUUAAGUCCCGCAACGAGCGCAACCCUUAUUGUUAGUUGCCAUCAUUUAGUUGGGCACUCUAGCGAGACUGCCGGUGACAAACCGGAGGAAGGUGGGGAUGACGUCAAAUCAUCAUGCCCCUUAUGACCUGGGCUACACACGUGCUACAAUGGGAAGUACAACGAGUCGCUAGACCGCGAGGUCAUGCAAAUCUCUUAAAGCUUCUCUCAGUUCGGAUUGCAGGCUGCAACUCGCCUGCAUGAAGCCGGA
rnacentral:rRNA from 1 species